UACGGAGGGGGCAAGCGUCGUUCGGAAUCAUUGGGCGUAAAGGGCGCGUAGGCGGCCUGUCAAGUCGGAUGUGAAAUCCCUCGGCUCAACCGAGGAACCGCAUUCGAUACUGUCGGGCUAGAGUCCGGGAGGGGAUGGUGGAAUUCCCAGUGUAGCGGUGAAAUGCGUAGAUAUUGGGAAGAACACCGGUGGCGAAGGCGGCCAUCUGGACCGGAACUGACGCUGAGGCGCGAAAGCUAGGGGAGCAAACGGG
rnacentral:rRNA from 1 species